rnacentral:rRNA from 1 species
GAUGAACGCUGGCGGCGUGCCUAAUACAUGCAAGUCGAGCGAACAGACGAGGAGCUUGCUCCUCUGACGUUAGCGGCGGACGGGUGAGUAACACGUGGAUAACCUACCUAUAAGACUGGGAUAACUUCGGGAAACCGGAGCUAAUACCGGAUAAUAUAUUGAACCGCAUGGUUCAAUAGUGAAAGACGGUUUUGCUGUCACUUAUAGAUGGAUCCGCGCCGCAUUAGCUAGUUGGUAAGGUAACGGCUUACCAAGGCAACGAUGCGUAGCCGACCUGAGAGGGUGAUCGGCCAGAAUGGAACUGAGACACGGUCCAGACUCCUACGGGAGGCAGCAGUAGGGAAUCUUCCGCAAUGGGCGAAAGCCUGAAGGAGCAACGCCGCGUGAGUGAUGAAGGUCUUCGGAUCGUAAAACUCUGUUAUUAGGGAAGAACAAAUGUGUAAGUAACUAUGCACGUCUUGACGGUACCUAAUCAGAAAGCCACGGAUAACUACGUG